UACGAAGGGGGCUAGCGUUGUUCGGAAUUACUGGGCGUAAAGCGCACGCAGGCGGAUUGAUAAGUCAGGGGUGAAAUCCCGGGGCUCAACCUCGGAAUUGCCUUUGAUACUGUCUGUCUUCGAGUUCGGGAGAGGUUGGCGGAAUUCCUAGUGUAGAGGUGAAAUUCGUAGAUAUUAGGAAGAACACCAGUGGCGAAGGCGGCCAACUGGCCCGAUACGUGACGCUCAUGUGCGAAAGCGUGGGGAGCAAACAGG
rnacentral:rRNA from 1 species